GUGCUUGCUUCAGCAGCACAUAUACUAAAAAAUUGGAACGAUGCAGAGAUUAGCAUGGCCCCUGUGCAAGGAUGACACACAAAUUUGAAGCAUUCCAUAUUUCU